UUUCUACUCCCUCCGUUCGGAAUUACUUGUCGCGAAAAUGGAUGUAUCUAGAUGUAUUUUAGUUCUAGAUACAUCUAUUUUCGAGACAAGUAAUUCCGAACGGAGGGAGUAGCUU
rnacentral:pre_miRNA from 1 species